rnacentral:rRNA from 1 species
GACGUAGGGGGCGAGCGUUGUCCGGAAUUACUGGGCGUAAAGAGCACGUAGGCGGGUAAUUAAGUCAGAUGUGAAAGACCAGGGCCCAACCCUGGGGUUGCAUCUGAAACUGGUUAUCUUGAGGGCAGGAGAGGGCAGUGGAAUUCCUGGUGUAGCGGUAAAAUGCGUAGAAAUCAGGAGGAACACCAGUGGCGAAGGCGGCUGCCUGGACUGACCAUGACGCUGAGGUGCGAAAGCGUGGGUAGCAAACAGGAUUAGAUACCCUGGUAGUCCACGCGGUAAACGAUGGAUGCUAGGUGUGGGAGGUAUCGACCCCUGCCGUGCCGCAGCUAACGCAAUAAGUAUCCCGCCUGGGGAGUACGGUCGCAAGGCUGAAACUCAAAUGAAUUGGCGGGG